GCUCGCCGCGCUGCCCAAUAAACGUAGGAAUGUCCCAGUAUCCAAAUGCAGCGGGGCCGAGGACCUACGGAGAAAUUGGAUUAUAGUAAAUGAGGUCUAACAUAGGACCUGUAGCGCCGUGAACCCCAUCUACCCAAGCGCUGAAUCGCUGCGUCCGAGAAACCCCACAAACUAGCCUGGGUGGCCGCCCCUAUCCGAAAAGAAUGAGUAGAAUAAUGGCGAGGAUUCACCCCGCAUGCAACCAAGGCAGCACGGAACCUAGCUGAGAACUGAUAACGUGUGAGGGGGGACCCAUCCCUAUGAACCAGAAAGGAGAGACACCACACCAGCCUAAUCUGCAAAUACUCUGAGA